rnacentral:rRNA from 2 species
AACUUUCAACAACGGAUCUCUUGGUUCCGGCAUCGAUGAAGAACGCAGCGAAAUGCGAUAAUUAAUGUGAAUUGCAGAAUUCAGUGAAUCAUCGAGUCUUUGAACGCACAUUGCGCCCCCUGGUAUUCCGGGGGGCAUGCCUGUCCGAGCGUCA